rnacentral:rRNA from 1 species
AUACGUAGGGAGCGAGCGUUGUCCGGAAUUACUGGGUGUAAAGGGAGCGUAGGCGGGAGUGCAAGUCAGAUGUGAAAUACAUGGGCUCAACCCAUGGGCUGCAUUUGAGACUGCAUUUCUAGAGUGAAGUAGAGGUAAGCGGAAUUCCUGGUGUAGCGGUGAAAUGCGUAGAUAUCAGGAGGAACACCGGUGGCGAAGGCGGCUUACUGGGCUUUUACUGACGCUGAGGCUCGAAAGCGUGGGGAGCAAACAGGAUUAGAUACCCUGGUAGUCCACGCUGUAAACGAUGAUUGCUAGGUGUGGUGGGACUGACCCCUUCCGUGCCGCAGUUAACACAAUAAGUAUCCACCUGGGGAGUACGGCCGCAAGGUUGAAACUCAAAUGAAUUGACGGG